ACUUAAGUAGUGUAUUUGCUGUAAAAUGUGGACGUAAAGCAAUACACAGGCUUUAGGUGUGCGUGUAAGAAGAACUGCAUGUAUAUAAAGAAACCUAUGGAUAUGA